GGGCUGUAGUGACUCCAGGGAACGUGUGAACAGUGGUUAUCAGCGGAUCACAGAAUGCAGGAAAAUAUCCAUUUCUAUCUUUAAACUGAUCUGAAAAUUUAGGACCAGAGUGGAAGUCAACACUGGCCCUGCGUGUAGUUUCAGAAAAGGCGCCUCCUGGACCUGCCGCACUUUGAUACCCUCCUUUGCACACCCCAUUUCAUUUGUCCUGCUAUCAACUUGACAUCAGCAUUUCCACACCCAAAUAUCCCUUAUAUGCUCUUCUGACAGUGAGGAUGUUUGCUCCCUACUGAAACAGAGUUUAGAACUCACACCUUGUUAACAGGUUGUCAAAAUUCGUUUUGCUAGUCUAUUGUUUUUCUUCUAAUACAAAAAGAUUUGCUGAU
rnacentral:lncRNA from 1 species